rnacentral:lncRNA from 1 species
GGUAGGUUUCCAGGGAUGUGGAGCAAAGCAGAGAUGGGUUUUCAGUUUUCCAGGGCUGGUGGAGAUACUUCUGGAGGACACUUUCUUCUUCUUUUUUUUUUUUUUGAGACAGUCCCACUCUGUUGCCUAGGCUGGAGUGCAGUGGCACAUCUCGGCUCACUGCAACCUCUGCCUCCUGGGCUCAAGCUAUUUUCCUGUCUCAGCCUCCUGAGUAGCUGGCAUUACAGGUGCCCACCACCACACCCAGCUAAUUUUUUCAUUUUUAGUAGAGACAGGGCUUUACCAUGUUGGUUAGCCUGGUCUCGAACUCCUGACCUCAGGUGAUCCGCCUGCCUCAGCCUCCCAAAGUGCUGGGAUUAUAGGCAUGAGCCACCGUGCCCAGCCUGGAGGGUACUUUCAUACCAGCUGCUGACAGACAAGGGCCCCCGGAUUCACUGUACGGCAGCACCCUAGGACACCUUGGAAAGUCUGUCCUGCAGCAAGAUGGUGCCUGGGUGGGCUGCUAGGGAGCCUGCAGCUGCUUAACUGGGGGGCAUCGUGAACGGCAAGCUAACGGUACUGGAUGUGCCUUCGCACAACCUGGCGAGGGCCUGUGAGGCACCAAGAGAAGCCGUCGUGGUAGACGGGCAAGGGCCCUGAAGCUCACACCACGCAUCCCGACAGACUCAGCGGUGCCUGUCUGAGGCACUUGAAGCUGGAAGACACAGCUCUGGGAGGCUCUCGAGCUCUCAUGCCUUGCUAUGUAGAAAUUCUUGGCUGGGAGCAGUGGCUCACGACUGUAUCCCAACACUUUGGGAGGCCGAGGCAGGAUGAUCGCUUGAGACCAGGAGUUUGAGACCAGCCUGGGCAACAUAGUGAGACCCCAUCUCUACCAAAGAUAACAAAGUUAGCCAGGUGUGGUUCAUGCACCUGUGGACCCAGCUACUCGGGAAGCUGAAUGGGGAGGGUCACUUGAGCCCAGGAGGUCAAGGCUGCAGUGAGCUGCCACUGCACUCCAGCCUGGACGACAGAGCAGGACUCUGUCUCUAAAAAACAAAACAAAAAAAGGCCGGGUAUGGUGGCUCACGCCUGUAAUCCUAGCAUUUUGGGAGGCCGAGGCAGACGGAUCACUUGAGGUCAAGGAGUUCGUGAUCAGCCUGGCCAAAAUGGUGAAAUCCUGUCUCUACUAAAACUACAAAAAUUAGCUGGGCGUGGUGGCAGGUGCCUGUAGUCCCAGAUACUCGGGAGGCUGAGGCAGGAGAAUCGCUUGAACCUGGGAGGAGAACCAGGCCAGGACCCAAAAAGCACUAUGUCCACCUGAAUCAGCACUGCAGGCUGGGUGAGGUGCUCAUACCUGUAGUCCCAGCACUUUGGGAGGCCAAGGCAGGAGAACAACAUAGCAAGACCCUGUCUCUACAAAAAAUAAAAAAAAAUUAGCCCGGCAUGGUGGCACACAUCUGCAGUCCCAGCUACUCAGGAGGCUGAGACGGGAGGAUUGCUUGAGCCCAGGAGUUCGAGGCUGCAGCAAGCUAUCACUGCACCACUGUACUCCAG